rnacentral:misc_RNA from 1 species
AAGUCGUAACAAGGUUUCCGUAGGUGAACCUGCGGAAGGAUCAUUAAUGAAGUAUAAAAAAGCGUCUCUUUCGAGAGAAUGUCUUUUUAAUCUUUUAAUUCUUCAACUCUGUGUAAUCUACUGUAUAAUUUAUUAUACAAAUUGGUAUCUUGUUUUAUCUCGUGAGAGGUAGGACAGAUAUCGCUUAAAAACAAAAAUUGAAAUGAUUGUUUCUCAGUGGGUAAUUUAGUGAGAUAGGGAGCCAGAUUUAAUCAUUCAGUUUUGCUGAAUGGCUAGGCCCGAGUUUUCUUUUUUGCCGGA